GUCCUCGCCUCUUACACGAACUAAACAGGAAAUUAUUACGCGGGCUAUGACAGUGACAACUUUCCUGGAAAAGGAGGGUCUUGCGAUCCCCACUCUUAUUUACUGUGUAGUUUGAACGGUAAGAAGCUCACUUCAUAUAUUUCUGGGCUCGCUUUAACGACACCCCUGCUUGUAAUAUGGCCAGCUCAUCAAACAGUGGGUUUGUGGUGCUCACCCACGUGUACCCUCAGCAAAGUGGAGCUGCUGCACCGGCUGUCUGCACUACCCAACAUGUUACUUCUGUGAUGGGAAAGUUUCUGAAAGGGGAUCCGAAGGCACUGGGGACAGUGCAGAUAAUGAUCGGGGUAAUGGAGGUAUUAUUUGGCAUCGUACUGGCCAUCAAUGCUGAGAGCCUUGCUGUUUACUCCGGGAUUGUUUUCUGGGGAGCACUUAUGUUCAUUUCCUCAGGAGCUCUGAGUGUUGCAGCUAGCAACAAACCCAACAAUUGCCUGGUGAGAGCAGCACUUGUAAUGAACAUCCUCAGCACCAUCGCUGCCGCCAUUGCUAUAAUCCUUCUCUCUCUGGACUAUGCUUUUGUACUGAGAUACUAUGGCUGCUAUGAUUAUGAAGAAAGAUACGGCUCUUGUGAAGAGUAUCGAAGAUGGUUUAAGAACAUGUCAAGUGGGACUCGUGGAGUGCUGAUGGUGUUCUCGGUCCUGGAGUUCAUCAUCUCCAUCUGUGUGUCAGCAUUUGCCUGCAGAGCAGUGUGCCACAGCUCCUCACCGCAAGUGAUAUAUAUGGCACCCGCAAGCGGUCAAGUGACAUCAGAAAAUCCUCUCCUGUCAACACCAUGUGCCUAUGAGACGGCAGUUUUGGGCCAAGGUGUGAUGGACAGCGUGAAAACUGAGCAGCCUCCUAAAUAUGAAGAAGUUCAACCUUGAAUGAGAUCAGUGUUCAUAUUGUUCAUAUAUAUUUCUCUUUUAAUCCGACACAAUUUAAUACAAAUGAUUCAAUACAAAUCUUCAGAUUUUCCAAGGGUUCUGAAUUUCUGUAUGUUUACACUAGAACUCGGAACUGUACUAUCCUCUCAGGUCUACUUUUGCACUUUGUUGUACGUCACUGGAUAAGAGCGUCUGCUAAAUGCCACGUAAUGUAAUUAUACAUUUUUUAUCAGCAACAUAUAUUUUACAAAAUAUCUUGUUAUUCAUAUAAUUAUAUAAAGUAGGGCCUCCUGCUUUUUGGUUGCCUUUGGUCUGUAGCCAUUGGAUAAAAAUCACACAAUGUGUACCAAAGUUUAAAUGACUACAAUUUAUCUUGGAAUUAAAUGUUUCAUAUAAUGAAUUUUCAAAA